rnacentral:rRNA from 1 species
AUACCGCAUAAGAGUAGAUGUUGCAUGACAUUUGCUUAAAAGGUGCAAUUGCAUCACUACCAGAUGGACCUGCGUUGUAUUAGCUAGUUGGUGGGGUAACGGCUCACCAAGGCGACGAUACAUAGCCGACCUGAGAGGGUGAUCGGCCACACUGGGACUGAGACACGGCCCAGACUCCUACGGGAGGCAGCAGUAGGGAAUCUUCGGCAAUGGACGGAAGUCUGACCGAGCAACGCCGCGUGAGUGAAGAAGGUUUUCGGAUCGUAAAGCUCUGUUGUAAGAGAAGAACGAGUGUGAGAGUGGAAAGUUCACACUGUGACGGUAUCUUACCAGAAAGGGACGGCUAACUACGUGCCAGCAGCCGCGGUAAUACGUAGGUCCCGAGCGUUGUCCGGAUUUAUUGGGCGUAAAGCGAGCGCAGGCGGUUAGAUAAGUCUGAAGUUAAAGGCUGUGGCUUAACCAUAGUACGCUUUGGAAACUGUUUAACUUGAGUGCAAGAGGGGAGAGUGGAAUUCCAUGUGUAGCGGUGAAAUGCGUAGAUAUAUGGAGGAACACCGGUGGCGAAAGC